rnacentral:rRNA from 1 species
UACGAAGGGGGCGAGCGUUGUUCGGAAUUACUGGGCGUAAAGGGCGCGCAGGCGGCUCUGAAAGUCAGAUGUGAAAGCCCCGGGCUUAACCUGGGAAUUGCAUUUGAUACUCUGGAGCUUGAGUACGGGAGAGGAGAGUGGAAUUCCCAGUGUAGAGGUGAAAUUCGUAGAUAUUGGGAAGAACACCGGUGGCGAAGGCAGCUCUCUGGACCGUAACUGACGCUGAGGCGCGAAAGCGUGGGGAGCAAACAGG